UGUAGCUCAGUGGUACAGUGCUUGCCUGGCAAGCAUGAGGCCCUGAGUUCAAGUCCUAGCA
rnacentral:tRNA from 1 species